rnacentral:lncRNA from 1 species
AUCACUCAAUUAAAGAAGAAAAGGUGAGUGUAUUGUCAAUUAAAAAGCAUUUACAUUUCACCUAACCCGGCCCAUUUAACCCUUUCACUGACCUAUUUUCCAACCCUUUCAUUUAUCCCCAAAUCAAUAAGAAAUCCCACCAGAAGUGAACAGCGAGGAAAAUUUUUGGGAAUUUGUCAACGAGAAUUGUUGAGAUUAUUUUUAUCCCUCUUCGUCCGAAACCAAUUCCACCUUCCACGAUACAGUACCAAUCCUAAAAAUCCCACAAAGUACGGUGUCAUAGUGGACAACUUAUGGUGAUUUCUUCUUUGUUGAUUUGUAAAAUCUGCUUACCCACGACUUGCUAUGUCGUAGUGGGUUAAUUGAGGAAGGUAAAAUACUUUUCUACGUCUUUAUGCCUAAAUCUGAAUUUUAAUUACUUUUCAUAAUGGGUUGUUCUUCUCAUGUUGUUGUUAUAGUGUGGUUGAGACAUGGAAAAGUAAUUUGAUGUUCUUCACCAACUUAGGUCUGUACACUGAUUACGGAGCAUCUGCAAUGUCAUAGAGGUGGAAGAAAUGACUGAGAAAGGUAAAAUCCAUACUUUGCAGAAGAUGUAGUUCGAAUGUGUACAAUUGCGUAUGAAUUCAAUAUUCACUACUAGGUAACGUGUUAUUUCAAUUCUAGUAUAUCAAAAUCAUAUAAUUAUGAACAUAGUUAUGGUACUUGUUUCUUAAUUUUGUUAUAACACUAAUCUAUUCUCACUCAUUUUGCCGUAGGAAAAGAAAUAGUAGAUAUGAUGGACGACGAAGUAUUGGUAGAAUCUAAUAAUGAGAACUUGUUGGACAAUGUAAUCACGAUGAAAGGUGAUAAUUUAGGAGGAGAUGUUGUGAAUUUCCUAAGGUGGGUAUGAAGUUUAACGAUGAAAAAGAACUGUUUGAAUUCUACAAAAAAUAUGCCUACGACGCAGGUUUUUCGAUGAGGAGAAGAAUUCUAGGAAGGAUGGGGAUGGAAUAGUAUGAUAUGUUACACUGACUUGUAGUCAUGAGGGACGAAAAAGCUAUAACACAAGAAAUUUUUUAAGGCCACAACCAACAAUUCAGAUGGAUUGUAAAGCAAUGCUAAUUGCUUUCUCGAAUAUUCGUGGAAUAUGGAAAAUUUGCACAAUCGACCUCAAGCACAAUCAUAAAACAAGACCAUCGAAAUCUAGGUUGUAUCGUUACAACUGAGAAUUGAGUGCACAUGUGAAACGAAAGCAAGAGAUAAAUGAUACGGCCAGAAGAGUUACAACUCUGCAGUUGUUGAAGCUGGUGGAUAUAAGAAUGUGACGUUCAUAGAAAGUGAUUGUAGAAAUUGCGUUGAACAUGUGAGGCGAUUAAAACUAGGUGAAGGAGAUGUCGCAGCAAUACAAUCAUACUUUUCACUAAUGCAAGCAUCUUGCUUUGGGUUUUAUUUUUCUAUGGAUUUAGACAACUAGUCAUGACUUAAUAAUCUUUUCUGGGUGGACAAAAGGUAUAGGCAAGCGUAUAAGGAGUUUGAGAAUGUAAUGUUGUUUGACCAAUAUUCAAGCAUGGCAAUGCACAUCAAUAGGCGGUUGUGUCUUGUAAUGCAAGCACGUGAUGGUACUAUGGAUUUGUAGUUAGAAGCUAUAUGUUUAUGUCGGGGUUGUAAAGAAGUAUGAUGCAUUUGUUUGUCACAUUAAUAAGCUGUGCGUUUCAGUUUGUUUGUCGGGUUUGGCAUUCAUUUAUGUUACUAGUUUUCAUUGUAUAAUGUUUUAUUUUAUACCCUUGAGUCCAUGAAUUUUUUUGUAUUUAUUUUGCCUCCAUGCUUACUAUGCACAGGAAUGACUUAAUUUUGAGUAAUGGCCCAUCUUUGUGUCACAAUCAAUCCCAGUAAGUCUUGAG